rnacentral:lncRNA from 1 species
CAGUACAGUGAAAAGACAGCCUUUUGAAGAAAACAAGUUUGUGGAAAGUGCUUAAUUAAGCAGGACACUGGCAUUUAUUUUUGACAUUUAUGAGACGAGAAAUGGUCACAGAAAACUAGAUGACUUUGCUUCACAAACAUACUGAAAACAAACAAGGAGCAUCAUUCCCACCAAGUGCUGAAGCAGCAUAUACUUUAAUGCCUUAUUUUGGUCGAGCCAAUAUUUUGGUCAAGUGAUAAUGGGUAAAAAAUAAUUUAAUACUAUACCAUUGAUUUUACUGAUAAGACAAAGCAA